rnacentral:rRNA from 1 species
AUUGAACGCUGGCGGCAUGCCUUACACAUGCAAGUCGAACGGUAACAGGUCUUCGGAUGCUGACGAGUGGCGAACGGGUGAGUAAUACAUCGGAACGUGCCCGAUCGUGGGGGAUAACGCAGCGAAAGCUGUGCUAAUACCGCAUACGAUCUACGGAUGAAAGCGGGGGAUCGCAAGACCUCGCGCGGACGGAGCGGCCGAUGGCAGAUUAGGUAGUUGGUGGGAUAAAAGCUUACCAAGCCGACGAUCUGUAGCUGGUCUGAGAGGACGACCAGCCACACUGGGACUGAGACACGGCCCAGACUCCUACGGGAGGCAGCAGUGGGGAAUUUUGGACAAUGGGCGCAAGCCUGAUCCAGCCAUGCCGCGUGCAGGAUGAAGGCCUUCGGGUUGUAAACUGCUUUUGUACGGAACGAAAAAGUUCUCUCUAAUACAGGGGGCGAAUGACGGUACCGUAAGAAUAAGCACCGGCUAACUACGUGCCAGCCGCCGCCGUAAAAC